UUACCAAGGCUUGACAUCGCCGGAAAUCCCGCAGAGAUGCGGGGUCCUUUUUGGGCCGGUGACAGGUGGUGCAUGGCNGUCGUCAGCUCGUGUCGUGAGAUGUUGGGUUAAGUCCCGCAACGAGCGCAACCCUCGUUCCAUGUUGCCAGCACGUGAUGGUGGGGACUCAUGGGAGACCGCCGGGGUCAACUCGGAGGAAGGUGGGGAUGACGUCAAGUCAUCAUGCCCCUUAUGUCUUGGGCUGCAAACAUGCUACAAUGGCCGGUACAGUGGGCUGCGAUACCGUGAGGUGGAGCGAAUCCCUUAAAGCCGGUCUCAGUUCGGAUCGAAGUCUGCAACU
rnacentral:rRNA from 1 species